rnacentral:rRNA from 1 species
GCAAGUCGAGGGGUAACAGGAAAGCUUGCUUUUGCGACGACCGGCGCACGUGUGCGAAACGCGUAUGCAACCUCCCUCAUACUGGGGGAUAGCCCUUGGAAACGAGGAUUAAUACUCCAUGGUAUCAUGAAUUCGAAUGUUUUUAAGAUUAAAGUUCUUCGGUAUGAGAUGGGCAUGCGUGCCAUUAGCUGUUGGUGAGGUAACGGCUCACCAAGGCGACGAUGGGUAGGGGGCCUGAGAGGGUGGUC